rnacentral:rRNA from 1 species
AUUGAACGCUAGCGGGAUGCCUUACACAUGCAAGUCGAACGGAGUGGCGGACGGGUGAGUAAUGUAUGGGAACGUGCCCUGUAGCGGGGGAUAACUACUCGAAAGAGUGGCUAAUACCGCAUACUAUCGGAGCAGCCCAUAUGGGAUUAGCUAGUUGGUGGGGUAAAGGCCUACCAAGGCGACGAUCUGUAACUGGUCUGAGAGGAUGAUCAGCCACACUGGGACUGAAACACGGCCCAGACUCCUACGGGAGGCAGCAGUGGGGAAUAUUGGACAAUGGGCGAAAGCCUGCUCCAGCCAUGCCGCGUGUGUGAAGAAGGUCUUCGGGUUGUAAAGUACUUUCAGUGGGGAGGCGUUACCCGCAGAAGAAGCACCGGCUAACUGCGUGCCAGCAGCCGCGGUAAUAC